rnacentral:rRNA from 1 species
CCUGAGAAACCCAAAAGAUCGAAUGGGGAGAUUCACCGUCAGCGUGGCUGGCUUCCGUGCGGUUCGCGAUGGCCGGGACCUCGGUCUCGCGUCACGCGUCCGCUGCGGUAUGUCCGGCUACGUCGGCGUGCACUUCUCCCCUAGUAGGACGUCGCGACCCGUUGGGUGUCGGACCGAUGGCCGUUCGGUCGCCUGUCUCGGCGCGUUCACGCGCGCACGAGGCAGACCGAUAUGGUCGAGUGUCCGGCUGCCCGGCGGUAUAGAACGAUAUUGAACGGUAAUGGGCCGCAUUAAGUGCGUCCAGGCUCGUCGGCAGGCUCGUCUCGCCCGGAUUUACGGACCUAGCGCCGUUGCCGGGUGCUUGGCGUGGCCGUUAGUCGACGAUGUCCUCGGACUGGCUCUAAAAUUCGAAAGGAUUACCGGUCGG